rnacentral:rRNA from 1 species
UACGGGAGGCAGCAGUGGGGAAUAUUGCACAAUGGGCGAAAGCCUGAUGCAGCGACGCCGCGUGAGCGAAGAAGUAUUUCGGUAUGUAAAGCUCUAUCAGCAGGGAAGAUAAUGACGGUACCUGACUAAGAAGCACCGGCUAAAUACGUGCCAGCAGCCGCGGUAAU